UUACCCUGUUGAACAGACGUUUUCCAGUAUGCUGUCAGAAUCUGGUGCCCUGCUUUCAGAAUGGAAUUCCCCCUUGGACAACGUGAUCUAUGGUUCUAAAGAACUCCAUAUCUCUGAGCAGAAAACGGAAGCGCUGGAUGACUUGUCUUGCAGGCAUCCACCUGGUCUGAGUAAAGGCGUCCUGUGUGUGGUGCAGAAAAGACAAGGAGCCAUGGCCUAACCUGACUGAGGACAACAGAGCAAAACCAUGGUGUUGGGGCUGACGUGUAGGGAUGAUUGGGGACUUGCUCCUUGGAGCUGGAGAGAAUCCCAAAUUGAGGCUGGUCACUUCCCUUGUGGGUUAUUCAGCUUGCAGGGCAAUGAGGAGCACCAUGUGACCUGCAUGUGACCUGCAUUCGUAGGACACAGACCACGGCUGCCAGCCAAGUAGGACAUCCUUACUAAAGUCCACUCAGGUAUGGUCCUGAACACACGAAGACAGUGAAAAUAUGGGAGAUGUAAAUUCAAAUGCUGCUGAGUUCUUCUGGAAAAUUCCUCAGGUCCCUUUUCCUGCCCUUCCCCACUGCCGUGACAGACAGAGAGUGAAGUGGUUUGGGGAUAAAAUCACACACUGAGGGCGGCAGAGUAGGACAGUGGAGACUUCCACGCUACUCCGAGAUUUCCCUAGAGAAAGAGCGAGGCUUUCUGUCUACUCAAACCGUUGGUUUUCUGUUACAUGGAGGGAUAGAAGGCAAGCACAUGAACAAAUAAACUCUGAUGUGGGGGCAGACGCUACUCAACAGAAGCCUUCUAGAGGGUGGGGUGCUAAAAAUAGGCCAAAGUCACCAGAAACACUGGGGAAGAUGGCUUUGGGGAAUACCCAUGAAUAUCAAAGAAGGGUUUGCUGAGAGAGGAGGAUAAGCACCCACGAAAGAAAACCACCCUCAGAGUGACAGCAGGCUGUCCUCCAGCCACGGCAGAGCUCUCUCACCUACAUGAGGGCAGUGUCGUCAAACCAUGGGAUGUGGCCCUUGACCCACUAACAAAUGGGAGAACAAUGGGAGGAUUGGCUGAGUUUGGUUUUGUCCUGGUUCUGGUAAAUUUCAAUCCUUAAAUAUCCGCGUGAAAAAAUAAAAAAUUGUGUUCUCACUUUCAAGGUCUCUUCCUUUAUUCCAAAUGUGCUUUAAAGUAUUUAUUGAGUGGAGAUUAAAGACGGGAUGUUGAAAGGUGAAACAGAAGUUAACAGUUUUCUUCCAAGUUCUGGCAGACGUCAGGACUUUAUGUGUCUGUUCAAAAGAAGUAU